CCUACGGGUGGCAGCAGUGGGGAAUAUUGGGCAAUGGAGGAAACUCUGAACCAGCAACGCCGCGUGAAUGAUGAAGGUCUUCGGAGUGUAAAGCUCUUUUCUAAGGGAAGAAGAAAGUGACGGUACCUUAGGAAUAAGCCUCGGCUAAAUACGUGGCAGCAGCCGUGGUAAUACGUAGGAGGCGGGCGUUAUCCGGAAUGACUGGGCGUAAAGGGUGCGUAGGUGGUUGUGCAAGUUAGUAGCGUAACUCCACGGCUCAACCUUGGAACUACUACUAAAACUGUUGGGCUUGAGUGCAGGAGGGGCAAGCGGAAUGCCUAGUGUAGCGGUGGAAUGCGUAGAUAUUAGGAGGAACACCAGUGGCGAAGGCGGGUUACUGGACUGUAACUGACGCUGAGGCACGAAGGCGUGGGGAGCAAACAGGAUUAGAUACCCGAGUAGUC
rnacentral:rRNA from 1 species